rnacentral:miRNA from 1 species
UAGCAUGAUUAUUGAUUCUUUGUGCAAGGACGGACUGGUUGAUCAAGCUUUGGGUCUUGUGUCUGAAAUGAAUGAGAAAGGCAUAUUACUAGAUGUUAUAGCAUAUACCACAUUACUUCAAGGUC